rnacentral:rRNA from 1 species
AUUGAACGCUGGCGGCAGGCUUAACACAUGCAAGUCGAGCGGGGGAAGGUAGCUUGCUACCGGACCUAGCGGCGGACGGGUGAGUAAUGCUUAGGAAUCUGCCUAUUAGUGGGGGACAACAUCUCGAAAGGGAUGCUAAUACCGCAUACGUCCUACGGGAGAAAGCAGGGGAUCUUCGGACCUUGCGCUAAUAGAUGAGCCUAAGUCGGAUUAGCUAGUUGGUGGGGUAAAGGCCUACCAAGGCGACGAUCUGUAGCGGGUCUGAGAGGAUGAUCCGCCACCCUGGGACUGGGACACGGCCCAGACUCCUACGGGAGGCAGCAGUGGGGAAUAUUGGACAAUGGGGGGAACCCUGAUCCAGCCAUGCCGCGUGUGUGAAGAAGGCCUUAUGGUUGUAAAGCACUUUAAGCGAGGAGGAGGCUACUUUAGUUAAUACCUAGAGAUAGUGGACGUUACUCGCAGAAUAAGCACCGGCUAACUCUGUGCCAGCCGCCGCGGUAA